rnacentral:rRNA from 1 species
UCUUGUGUGAAAAACUCCGGUGGUACAGGAUGGGCCCGCGUCUGAUUAGGUAGUUGGUGGGGCAGCGGCCUACCAAGCCGACGAUCAGUAGCCGACCUGAGAGGGUGACCGGCCACAUUGGGACUGAGACACGGCCCAAACUCCUACGGGAGGCAGCAGUGGGGAAUAUUGCACAAUGGGGGAAACCCUGAUGCAGCGACGCCGCGUGAAGGAAGAAGUAUUUCGGUAUGUAAACUUCUAUCAGCAGGGAAGAAACUGACGGUACCUGACUAAGAAGCACCGGCUAAAUACGUGCCAGCAGCCGCGGUAAUACGUAUGGUGCAAGCGUUAUCCGGAUUUACUGGGUGUAAAGGGAGCGUAGACGGAGAGGCAAGUCUGAAGUGAAAGCCCGGGGCUCAACCCCGGGACUGCUUUGGAAACUGCAGUUCUAGAGUGCCGGAGAGGUAAGCGGAAUUCCUAGUGUAGCGGUGAAAUGCGUAGAUAUUAGGAGGAACACCAGUGGCGAAGGCGGCUUACUGGACGGUGACUGACGUUGAGGCUCGAAAGCGUGGGGAGCAAACAGGAUUAGAUACCCUGGUAGUCCACGCCGUAAACGAUGACUACUAGGUGUCGGUGAGCAAAGCUCAUCGGUGCCGCAGCCAACGCAAUAAGU